GAUGAACGCUGGCGGCGUGCCUAAUACAUGCAAGUCGAGCGAAUGGAUUAAGAGCUUGCUCUUAUGAAGUUAGCGGCGGACGGGUGAGUAACACGUGGGUAACCUGCCCAUAAGACUGGGAUAACUCCGGGAAACCGGGGCUAAUACCGGAUAACAUUUUGAACCGCAUGGUUCGAAAUUGAAAGGCGGCUUCGGCUGUCACUUAUGGAUGGACCCGCGUCGCAUUAGCUAGUUGGGGAGGUAACGGCUCACCAAGGCAACGAUGCGUAGCCGACAUGGGAGGGUGAUCGGCCACACUGGGACUGAGACAGGGCCCAGACUACUACGGGAGGGAGCAGUAGGGAAUCUUCCGAAAUGGACGAAAGUCUGACGGAGCAACGCCGCGUGAGUGAUGAAGGCUUUCGGGUCGUAAAACUCUGUUGUUAGGGAAGAACAAGUGCUAGUUGAAUAAGCUGACACCUUGACGGUACCUAACCAGAAAGCCACGGCUAACUACGUGCCAGCAGCCGCCGUAA
rnacentral:rRNA from 1 species